GUUCAUUCAUGAACAUAUACUAAAAUUGGAACAAUACGGAGAAGAUUAGCAUGGUCCCUGCGUAGGGAUGACAAAGGAUAAGCUUUCAGUUUUA
rnacentral:snRNA from 1 species